UGCAGGAGUCCUCCUUCACCAGGUAGACCCCUGCGCAGCCCCAGCUGCUCCCCGGGGUGGGGGACCUCAGCAACACCCCAUCAGAGCUGCAACAAUUGUGCGGCAGGAGCCAGCCGUGAGCAAUCCAGGCAGCCCUUCGGGAGAGCCCUCUUGCUUUCUACAACUGUCUUCUGACUCCCUUGCUCCAGGUCACUGUCACAGUGACCAGCUGGCCCUUCGAUUGCCCAGGGAGAGCACUGGCUCUUUAGCAUAUUCUAAGCUAUCAAUCCCAGAGACUCCCAGGCCUCUGCCGAGCUAGUCAAUUGUAGUCACAUUUCGGUGGUGACAGAAUUCUCCCCUUCUGCGCUGCAGCUGAAAAUACAUGCCUCGGUCCUCCGGGCCCCUAGCUCCGCAGCAGCUCCCCAAACGCCCUAAAAAGCAAAGAGAAAGCGAAGGUCGUUUGCAAAGACUCGAGCAGACCACAUCUUUACUCGUGUCAAGCCCAAUGCAACCCGGUCCCAGCCACCCACCUUGCCUUGGGGUCCUCUCUCUCAGCGCCCGUGCAGCUCGGAAGGCGGGCUUCGCGGGCGCCACAGCUCCACAACGCCCAGGAGGUGCGCCCGAGUCCUGCCCCGCGCGCCCCGCGGGUUCGGCUCCCUAUGCACCAACAGUCGCCGAGGCGGGCUGGGAACGGGAUCCCGGGCCGGGGCCCAGACAGCCGGCGCUGCCCCACUGCCUCGAACGGCCAGAGACGGUUCAAAGCGUCCGAGACCCGAAAAAGAGGCUCCCGGGCGCUCGGCGCCUCCUCGGGAGACGGCACCUCCAGGACUAAUCACCUGGGCACCUUCUUGGCUGCCUUUCCCUCGGGCGGCCUCUGGCCCCUCGGGGCAGGACCCGGCGCCUCCCCGCGGCACUGCCCGCUACAUCCCAGGAGCCGGUGGGAUCCUGAGGCAGGGAGAGCCGAGCUGGCACCGGCAGGCGCAGGGGCCGGUUCCCCGGGGCACAGCCCACCCCGCCCCCGCGUCCCCUCCCCUGCCCCGGGGGCGGGCUUCGCUUGACAGGCAGAGUUGCGGGCGACAGCCGCACGUGGUUCCCCUGGAUGGUGAAAGAGUUGGAGAUGCCCAGACGCAAAUGAAAGGACGUGAUUCUGGUUCGAGAUGGUCAUGUGAGCCUGAACGUUUUACUUCCACAUUCUACCCACCCAUCCUGAAACGAACGUUUCCACUGCUAUUACCCAGAAACACACAGGGAAAGGAAAUGCAGCAUGAACCCCGGAAGGCAGGACGGGGUGGGAUCAUUUUCUCCAGGAGAAAGGGCAGAUGCGACUGGACUGGAGGAGGGAGGACUCCCCUGGGAUUUCCCAUAUGCGAAGAAAUCCCAAAAGAACACAUUACCAAGACUGAGGAAAACAAGAGCAAUUUCUCAUGA
rnacentral:lncRNA from 1 species